GACGGAGGGUGCUAACGUUGCUCGGAAUUACUGGGCGUAAAGCGCGUGUAGGCGGACCUGAAAGCGAGGUGUGAAAGCCCUGGGCUCAACCCAGGAAGUGCAUUUCGAACUGCAGGUCUUGAGUGCGGGAGAGGGAGGUAGAAUUCCCGGUGUAGAGGUGAAAUUCGUAGAUAUCGGGAGGAAUACCGGUGGCGAAGGCGGCCUCCUGGACCGACACUGACGCUGAGACGCGAAAGCGUGGGGAGCAAACAGGAUUAGAUACCCCCGUA
rnacentral:rRNA from 1 species